UUCGACACACUAUCAUUAACUGAAUCCAUAGGUUAAUGAGGCGAACCGGGGGAACUGAAACAUCUAAGUACCCCGAGGAAAAGAAAUCAACCGAGAUUCCCCCAGUAGCGGCGAGCGAACGGGGAGGAGCCCAGAGCCUGAAUCAGUGUGUGUGUUAGUGGAAGCGUCUGGAAAGGCGUGCGAUACAGGGUGACAGCCCCGUACACAAAAAUGCACAUAUUGUGAGCUCGAUGAGUAGGGCGGGACACGUGGUAUCCUGUCUGAAUAUGGGGGGACCAUCCUCCAAGGCUAAAUACUCCUGACUGACCGAUAGUGAACCAGUACCGUGAGGGAAAGGCGAAAAGAACCCCGGCGAGGGGAGUGAAAAAGAACCUGAAACCGUGUACGUACAAGCAGUGGGAGCCUCUUAAUGGGGUGACUGCGUACCUUUUGUAUAAUGGGUCAGCGACUUAUAUUCUGUAGCAAGGUUAACCGAAUAGGGGAGCCGAAGGGAAACCGAGUCUUAACUGGGCGUUAAGUUGCAGGGUAUAGACCCGAAACCCGGUGAUCUAGCCAUGGGCAGGUUGAAGGUUGGGUAACACUAACUGGAGGACCGAACCGACUAAUGUUGAAAAAUUAGCGGAUGACUUGUGGCUGGGGGUGAAAGGCCAAUCAAACCGGGAGAUAGCUGGUUCUCCCCGAAAGCUAUUUAGGUAGCGCCUCGUGAAUUCAUCUCCGGGGGUAGAGCACUGUUUCGGCAAGGGGGUCAUCCCGACUUACCAACCCGAUGCAAACUGCGAAUACCGGAGAAUGUUAUCACGGGAGACACACGGCGGGUGCUAACGUCCGUCGUGAAGAGGGAAACAACCCAGACCGCCAGCUAAGGUCCCAAAGUCAUGGUUAAGUGGGAAACGAUGUGGGAAGGCCCAGACAGCCAGGAUGUUGGCUUAGAAGCAGCCAUCAUUUAAAGAAAGCGUAAUAGCUCACUGGUCGAGUCGGCCUGCGCGGAAGAUGUAACGGGGCUAAACCAUGCACCGAAGCUGCGGCAGCGACACUAUGUGUUGUUGGGUAGGGGAGCGUUCUGUAAGCCUGUGAAGGUGGCCUGUGAGGGUUGCUGGAGGUAUCAGAAGUGCGAAUGCUGACAUAAGUAACGAUAAAGCGGGUGAAAAGCCCGCUCGCCGGAAGACCAAGGGUUCCUGUCCAACGUUAAUCGGGGCAGGGUGAGUCGACCCCUAAGGCGAGGCCGAAAGGCGUAGUCGAUGGGAAACAGGUUAAUAUUCCUGUACUUGGUGUUACUGCGAAGGGGGGACGGAGAAGGCUAUGUUGGCCGGGCGACGGUUGUCCCGGUUUAAGCGUGUAGGCUGGUUUUCCAGGCAAAUCCGGAAAACC
rnacentral:rRNA from 1 species